rnacentral:rRNA from 1 species
GGAUAAGGAUGCUCAGCGCCCGACCUCCAACCCUUUGUUGUUAAAACUACCUUGUUGCUUUGGCGGGACCGCUCGGUCUCGAGCCGCUGGGGAUUCGUCCCAGGCGAGCGCCCGCCAGAGUUAAACCAAACUCUUGUUAUUAAACCGGUCGUCUGAGUUAAAAUUUUGAAUAAAUCAAAACUUUCAACAACGGAUCUCUUGGUUCUCGCAUCGAUGAAGAACGCAGCGAAAUGCGAUAAGUAAUGUGAAUUGCAGAAUUCAGUGAAUCAUCGAAUCUUUGAACGCACAUUGCGCCCCUUGGUAUUCCGAGGGGCAUGCCUGUUCGAGCGUCAUUACACCACUCAAGCUAUGCUUGGUAUUGGGUGCCGUCCUUAGUUGGGCGCGCCUUAAAGACCUCGGCGAGGCCUCACCGGCUUUAGGCGUAGUAGAAUUUAUUCGAACGUCUGUCAAAGGAGAGGACUUCUGCCGACUGAAACCUUUAUUUUUCUAGGUUGACCUCGGAUCAGGUAGGGAUACCCGCUGAACUUAAGCAUAUCAAUAAGGCGGAGGAAGAAGUGUUUGCCCC